AGAAUUACAGUGAACAAUACAGGUUGUCAAAGAUGGCAUCUCAAAAGGUCCAAAAUACUCCUCAGAAUGGGUUGUGGUUACCCAACAGUUUCCUCAAGAAAAGCAGGGACUUAAUUAAAAAAAAAAUAAAUGCUUUUCAUAUACUCAAAUAUUUAAUUUUUGUAUUAGUGAAGUCAGUCAGUCUGGUUUGUUUCCAGUUUUAAGAUGUGUCAAGAGGAUUAAAAAUUAACCCCCCACCCACCAUUUUGAAUUGCAAAAAGGAGCUAUUAUUUUAAAUCCUAGUUGAGAAAAUGAGCUAACAUAUUUUACUUAUUUAGAAAAGCUGUGUUUUACUACAAAUGUUUAAAGUAAUGAAUUUGUUCUUUUGAGAAAUCCUGUAUUCUGAAAUUAAAACUGCCAUUUAAUUUUCAGUUGGAAUAUUUUAUUGCUGCAGUUGUAGAACAGAGGUAGUUAGCUGGGAUCCAUGUUAAAACCUAUUUAGUCAAAAUAUUAGAAGACUGAAGUGGGUUCAGAUUGCAUUAGAGAGCACUUGCCAUGUUCAAGAUUAUUGGCAGAGAAAAGAAGAAUCAAAAAUAAGUAAUAUUCUGUCAGUAUUCUCAGUUGUAAGAUUUAGGCAUUAUUAUUUUAUGUACUUCAAAUCAUUUGUUCUUCUGUAGUUAGUCAUGUGUGUUUAGCUUUAUGCAAACUGAGUAAGAACAUUUAAAGAAAGUAGUGCUUUCUGGUGGAAUGUUUUUCUGUGCUUUAAAGUUAUGGGGGAUAAUUGGAGUGUAUUUUAAGACCAGCAGUAUUUGGUAACUCUGUAAUAAUUACAUUAAUGUCUCCUAGUUUUUGCUCUUCUCACUAGCCAGCCCUUGAAAAGAAAUAUUUUGUGUGCACGUUUCUGUUGUCUGCCUUGUGUCACAAAAUGCAUGUAAAAAGCUACCAAGUCUGACACCUACUUUGUCUCCAGUGUUUUCCUUGUGUAAAUGACUUCCCAGCUGCAUGGAAAUAGAAAAAAUAUCUCUUGUUUCAAACAAAAGUUUUGGCUUUCUGGAGGUUAUUCUUGAAGUCAGUGGAAGGGAACCCAACUGGACUUGUUUUAUGUGAGAUGAACUGGCGUGAGAAAGUCUCAGAGAUGAACUUAGCUCUCCUUUUUUUGGUGAAAGUUUCUGGCAAGCAAAAUGCAUAGAUGAAAUUAAAUUACCUCUCCACCCCCUGAUUUAUGUAUCAGAGAUUUUGCCAAGCACUUGUUUUCAUCCAGUUUUAUGAACAACAUUGAAGUUUCCACUGUCUCAAAGUUCUGAGACCAAGCUUUUGUCUCUUUGAUAGCUGAAGUAAAAGGAGGCACUGUUCUAAUUAUGAAUGAAGAAUUUAAAAUUUAACAUUAAAAAGGCAAAAUAGGAACCCAGUUACAAGACAGUAAGCUUUGUUGAAUACACUUUUGUAUUGCAAUAUUUUAGAAAAAUCACUCACUAAAGAUUUUUUUUAACAGAGAAGCAUAAGAAGAUAAUUCCCUUUUUUGACACGCUUUACCUUUGCAAAGUUACUGGGCUGUUGACAGGUACAACAAGACAUGUGCUAUGCUUACAUGCUAUUAGUGCAGCAGGCUUUGAAAAAUGUCUAAUGCAUUGGCAUAUCUGACAAUUUAGGGUAUUAGUUAACAGUGAGACUCUGUAAAUAGAGUGAAUUUUAGCUACAACUGCUGACUUGGGCAUUCAGUCAACAUUUGCAGUACAGGGCUGAACAACAAAUAAUGUCAUUUUAUACUAUGGAGAUGGAAGUUGGCGUUAUACAGUGUGUAUGGUUCAGCCUUAGAGCAAUGGUAAUUGCAAUGUAUUGAAGUUUUGCAUUGUAAUAAAAAUAGAGACCAUUAGUGGAUACCAUUUAUGUCAUUAGUAUUUAGUGGCUGUGUGUUGCAGCUUUUUUAGUGCUCAUAAAACUGUCUCUGCUUGCAGAUAUGUGACAGCACUGAUACAAAUUUAAAUGUUUAGAAAUCCAUAAGACAUAAAAUAUAGAUAGUAAAUAGGGGCAUAACAUUAUAGACAGAACCUUAAUAAUUUGGCACACAAAUGUUUAUAUAUUUGCAUGUCUAGUGCAGAAAUUAGCAUAAUGAUGUUCAUGUUUAUACUACAGAAGAACUUGAUUAAACAAAGAAUAAAAAAUGAGUUAAAACUGAGGCAAAUCAUGCAAAAGCAGCAAAGAAUAUUUUCAGGUCCCCAAAAGGGAAUUUGUGAUGUUGGAAGGUACAUCCUUUACAUACAUCUGGUGGGAUAUUGAUUUUUCUCUUUGUAGACUUUUUACUAGUUACAGCACCUGUUCCACUAACUAGCAUUACAGUUGUUCUUAGGAAGUGAUUAUGUUAAUUAACUAAUAAAAAGGAAAAUAAGGUUGUUAGGUAACCCUAAGAUAGAGAUUGGCUGGCACUAAUUUAACAGUAUAGGGAAGGUCAUAUGAUAUCUAGCCCAAAACAGCAAUGUCUUGUCAGAAUUGGAGGCUGCUGUGAGGGCAGUGAAGGAGCUGACUGGGAAAAGACUUCUUUGGAGCAUGGGGUGGGAAGAAGUCCAGGAAUAUAGCACAGGAGGUUUCCUGAAAUUCCAAGCAUUAUACAUGAGACACAUGUGCAAGCCACAGUUUGGGCUUCCGAGUGAUUUUUAUUCAAGAAAUUUGGAAGCCUGUUUGAUUUCCAUGCAGAAGAUCUCUGAGAAAGCUGUCUUCUUCCUUUGAUUUAAGGAAUGUCACUUGGAUUCUGCUGGCAGCUACUCUUAACUUCUUUAAGAGGUUCCUUUAAGAUUUUCCUAUAAGAGACUCCCCUUUGUGCUUUACUGACCCUGGUUUCUGUGUCAGUGACGGAUUUGAAGCAAGAGAUUCUGAGACUUGUCCUCUGCACACCCCAUCCCCACUGUCUUCAGCUCUGACCUUUACAUCCUGGAAACACCCUGGAGGUUUGUCACAGAGCUCUCAGGGGAUUUGGAAAUCAAAUUAUACAGCACUAAGGGAGAACACAGAAAACUAUAAAAACACUUCAGUCAUUAGGAGUGAAGUGACAGGAAGCAGUGUUAGAGAAUGAAUCUUUCCAAUUAAUUUUCCUUUCAGGGCCCUUUUCCCAACAUUUUUAAUUCUAAGUGUGUAUGAAAUCUUUGGCAACAUUACUUGUGUGUUUCAAAAGAAGAGGAAACCUUUGAUAAACCUUCUGAAUCUCUUGACUUAACAAUGAUAGCACCGUGAUUAUUUUGAAUCCUUUUAGUUGGGAAAGGUGAUAGUGGGAAUGUACAUUUGCAGAAAAUUUGUGGCUUACAUUAAUAGUUGUUAAGGUUAUAACAUGAGAUGCUUUUCAGAAGCUCAAAUAAUAAGCAGAAGCAAAACAAGCUUUCUGUACAGUGAAUAUAAAUUAUUCUUUCUGUCGCUCCUAGUAUUUCUUACAAUCUAAUUCUGGAAAGUGUUAAACUGGAAAUCAUAUUGCUCCUUUUAAAAACAUAUUUUUGUCUGUUUAUCCGUUCAAACCAGACCAAAAUGUAAAUCUGUAAAAUGCUUUCCAUCUUCAAAGCAGCUAUUUAUAUGCAUCUAAAUUCUGAAAUCUUUUUGAAACUUUCGGUUUUAUUUCUGAUUGUGGGAUUCAGUGUCACUUCUUAGCACAUUGAGUACUGAUGGCUUUGAACACACAGUAUGGCACAAAGCGAUAACUUGUGCACACUACCCUGCUGAGAGACAAUUCUAAAGGAAAAGUGAUUUUUAUGCUGGGGUUUUGUCUGAUUUUAGAAUUAGGGGAAAUAUUAAAGAGCAUAACAAAAUAUUUUAAUUCCUCUAUACACCACUAAAUUACUUGUUACCUUAUUUAUCCAAGUAACAGCUACCUGAGAGCAGAGGCUGCUUUCUGAAGCCAUUCUCUACAUAGAAUUGUACUAAAACCACUAAAUCAUGAAGUGAACAGACAAGUUUUGCAGUGAAGAGUGUUAUUGACUGGGUCUGUGGACACUUACCAAAAACAUAUGUAAAGGGAGAAGAAUAUUAGAGUGCUAUAAGAAAAAUGGACUCCCUAAAAUCUAUUCUGUCAUAAGGUAGAAGGAAGAAGACUGGGUUUCUGGCAAAACCUGGGUGAACCUGAAAUCAUGCCAUACUUCGAGGUAUUUCUACUGGAAUAAUUGUAGUAACUGUAGUUACCAUAAAACCUGAUACUAAAUCUGAGUGUAUCAUAUUUCCUUGAGCAGGACAAGCAGAUGUAAUAUUUUGAAUUGGACAUGAAUGUUGAAUUGGUGGUACUUGAAAGUACCUAUAGGACUCUCUAAAACAUAUUUUCUUGAUAAUGUGUUUUCCUGUAUUUUUUGUAAUCUCUAUUUUUUAAGUUCAUUUUUUUUCUGACUUCUAGAUGAUUCUUGGUAUCCAGCUGCUCUCUUGUACUUCCUUGUAUCUUGCUUGUAGGCGGUGUAUCAUCCCAAAUUCUUAUGGGGCAUUCAGCUGCACUAGAUUGCCCAAAUUACCACAGGUCACAGCUGAAAUGCAUUAGUGGAAUUAAAUAGGAAAGCUUGCCCAGUAUUGACUCUGCUGUUCUUACUGCUUCUUAUUGCUUUCAUGAGAAGAGUGGAAGAUUAUUGAAAGACAUAUUUAUAAAAGAUACAGUGCAGUGCAGCUACACUGCAGGUUUAUGCCAAAUUAGGUCUUGAACCUGAAUGAAUUCAGGCAUCUGCUGCAUUUCAGAUUACAGUUCACUGUGUGACCUCACACAUGUAGGUUGGCCUCCUCCUGGUUUGUUUAACCCAUCCACAAAAUUGAGAAAAACAGGUAACUCCAUGAAAAAACAGGUGUGCAUCUGGGCACAACUGUCCUGGGUAAAUAGAUUACAAAGAAGGCAGAGGCUCAAAUGAAGGGAUAAUAAAGAGGAAAUUUGUCUCCUACACACCUUUAUCAUUAACUUAGUGGUGCACUGUGUUUACAUUUAUUGGGCGUGUUUAGUCUCACUGGACUUCCAGCAGAACAGAUCUGAGGUCAUUGUCUUUUCCUGUAAUUCAGUGCAUGAGAAGCACUAUGUGGUUAGUCUUAUUGGAGGGAACACAGGCACAGGCUUUAGUGACUUGUGAAUGAAUCAAUAAAGCAUGUUCCUGUAGGUUUCUAAAUUGUCUCUUUCAUUAAGAAUGGAAUUGGGCAGCAGAAGAUCGAUUUUUCAUGGCAAAUCAGAGGGAUUUUAUCAGACCUUCAUUUAGGCUGUGGAUUUUUGGAGUAAAAAAGCUUCAUCAAAAAUACUAUGCAGGAUUUGAACUGCUGCAAUGAUCAUAAAUAGUUUAAAUGUCCUUUUUCAGAACACUUUCUUGAACUCAGAAUUAUGUGAGACCUGGUCUUUAGCAGUCCCCACAGAUAACUAAAUGAGUGGAAAGCUGCUGAGCUCCCACAGCUGAGGAUCGUGGCUUAUGGAGCAGCAGAUGUGGUAUUGGUUAAAAGAUAUUUGGAAAGGGAAGCAUUCACACAGAAAUGUUACUGCUGCUAAGGUUAUACAUGUCUUUGUAUAUCACAAUUGCUUACAGCAGCUCUUGAUGAGUGAGUGUGACAUGAACUCUGCAGGAAAUGCAGUCAUCCUUUAGAAUCAUCUAAAAUAAUGAUUAUUGUACAGGUAUGGAACAGGCAGAGAGGUGUUUCAAAUCUACUGAUUUUUGUAUCAUCACCAUAGGGCUAUGAAGUUCUGAAGAAACUUACCUUUACAGAUGUGGUUCAUCUAAAUAUUCUUUUCCUGCAUGGCACAUACAAACUUACUCAAGUAUGGUAGUACACCUUGACAGUGUUCUUCUAGGACAGUAUAACUUGCUUGUAGAUAAUACAGUGUUCAUCUUGGAAUCUAUGCUUUUAGUACACAUAUAUGCCUUUCUAGCAUCCUGAACCAGUGUUAUUUUCAUGGAUAGACAAGGGCAGUGCUGCAUAUGCAUUUCUUAAUUUUUUAAUAGGCUCAUUAAGUAGAAAUUUGUAUUUCCAAAUCCUGAGGGAGCUGGAGAAACAUGGAUGAGGCACAGUGCUGAGCCUAGACAAAAAUUAGCUGAAUCUAAAUCAAGAGCAGCAUCAACAGUAAUACUUAGAAGCACAGAGCUUUAUUAAGAAUGGAUAAUUUGCCAGGCAUUACUUUCCACAUAGGCAGUGUUGUAAGAGGUUGUCUAUCAAUAGGUCACUACAUAUUCCAAAACAAGUUGAAGCCAAAUAAGUCAUCAUAAGAUGUGUCAUCACCUCUUAUAUAGAUUUAGCUUUAGCUUGCAUGUACAUACCUACAGAAGAUAAGUGUUUUCUAGCAAUUCUCUUGAGAGGCAGUUACAUUAAUUUUCUAGUAACUGCUAUGUAAGAAUUACAUGUAAAGGGUUUAUGAAUUAUUUAUUGUUUGGUGCAAACCUGAAUCUUGAUUCUGCCCUGUUGUUCCCUCUCUGGGAUACUUGCAUUGAGAUCCUUCUACAGUUUACUGUAGAAGCAUGUUUAUAUCUGAAGGGUGCUUAUAAGUGCUACACAUAAAGAAUUAAAAUGUUACAGCUCUGCUUAUGGUGCAGUGACAGAUGCUGGUGUUACAGUGCCUUAGUGGGUGGUUUCUAGUUCAAUUUUCUGUUACACAGCCAUAAUUUGUAAUACUGCUUUUGCAUUGUUGUGUUGCAAAUACAUCAGUCAGGGACUUAUUAAAGAUGGGUGAACUCUGCAGGAUCUAGAGGUCUGGGUGAGAUAACCAAAAUCUCUAGUAGUUUUUCAGAGCUUAAUGAGAGGUGGAGUUUUCUUUUCUGUCAGUGCUUUCAGGUGUAAAUCUUUCCCUUUGCAAUGAUGUAUCAAUUUUUGCAGGCUGCCUUAUCAUCCAGGAGUAGGAGACAGUGAGCUGAAGGUAUGUGCUUUCUGUACAGAGUAGAGCAUUCCUCAGUUGGGCUGAACAUCAGCAGAUGUUUCUGAGGAGUUUCCUAAGCUGGGUUUUAAUACUGUCUUUGAUGUCCAGAGGAGAACACAGCUUUAGCCAUGUAAAUUUCUCUGAAGCAAUUAGUAAUGUAAUAGCCAUAAUUAAGGGUCUGUCACACUAGAGAGACACAAGGAAUAAGAGAUUGAUCGUUAUUCAGCAUCAUGUUUACAGAAGAGGUUAUACAGCUCUCACUGGAGACAAACUGAUAGCUGUCACUCUGGGUGACUGUUUGUGUGCUCACUAAAGGUGAAUUGGUGUACAUUAUUUAUCUUGAUUUUUACAGGAUUCGUUGCAAAGAACACGAGAAACAGAAGACUUUAUUGUUUCUUACUCAUGAAAAGAAUCUCUUCAACUUGAUCUCUUCAAGUCAGUGAGUAGUUUAAAUGAGAGCAAUGAAACUGGUCCAUAGUGGAAGUUUUUUAAAAAGAGAGGUGAGUGGCAUUUUUCUUUCAAAAUUUGACUGUGGUUGCAUGGCAGGAAAUGGAAACUCUGGUAAACGGGUUGCCCAAAAAUUAGAACCACCCCUCAGAGGUGUGGGAAGGUGCUCUCUGUGUUAAACUAGUCAUCAUUUCCCUAUGAGAAUGUCCCAAAAUGGAAUGUAUUUGGGUCUGCUCAGGAAGAACAUAGGACAUAUCCUCCAUUCUGAACUUUGAUGAAUCCUGCAUGGUAAAAAGACUUGCCAAGGAUGUGACCAUAAGGACGCAAUUGCUUGUGCCUUUCUGAGUGGUAGAAUUGCUCGUGCCUUUGAUGAGUCCAGCGCAUGGUGGUUGUGGUGUACCAGCACCCUCAUGGGACCAAAAUAUGGGCUGCCAAAGCACUGUGUAGAGGGAACUACAAGUUAGUGGGUGGGAGUGACAGCCUGACAAGUUCAGUUGAGAAGUCAUGCUUUUAAGUGUGGGGUAAUAAAUGCUCGUGUAAAGCGCUGAGACGAUGGAUUUUCCAUUUACAGAAUAAAUUUGGAAGUAUUUCAGGAAGACGUGUUUUCAACAAAUAGGUGGCGUGGGGAUUGGUAUAGAAGUAACAGAGUAAAAGUCUCUUGUAGGAGAUCAGACCCCAGUGUCUGAUGGCCCUUUUAGAGCUUAACAACUUUUAAAUGUUAAACUGGAACCUCUCUAUAUUUGAAUAGCACUUCUCAGUGGACUGGUAAACAUCCCAAGUGGCAUUGAGGUUUCAAAUGGGAUUGUAAUUUUGAACAUAUGUUGCAUGCCCGAGGACAGUUGGCCUUAUAAUCCUCUUUUGUGUAAUGCAGAUAGCCAAAGAGUGGACCUGAGCAGUUAAAAAAAAGACAAAUGUGUUAUGGAUGAAAAGGAAAAGAGAGUCAGUGAAUAUUCACAGAAUCACAGAAUAUGCUGAGUUGGAAGGGACCCACAAGGAUCACUGACUCCAACUCCUGGCCCUGCACAGGACCAUCCCAAAGAGUCACAUCUGUGCCUGAGAGUAUCAUCCAAACACUCCUUGAGCUCUGUCAGCCUUGGUGCUGUGACUGCUUCCCUGGGCAGCCCGUUACAGUGCCCAGCCACUCUGAGGGUGAAAAACCUUUUUCUAACAUUCAACCUAAACCUCCCCUGACACAACUUCAGGCCAUUCCCUUGGGUCCUGUCACUGGUCCCCACAGAGAAGAGAUCAGUGCCUGCCCCUCUUCUUCCCCUCAUGAGAAAUUUAUCACUAAUUAGUGAUAAUCAUUGCUGUGGAGCGAUAGGGUGGGAUAGGAGCACAACCUUUACUGAAAUUCCUCAGGGUGAAAUAAUGCCAUUUCUGUCUGCAUAGAAGUAUUUGCCAAAGCUUGUCCUUUGGAUUGGUAUUUUGUUAAAACAGAACACCAGACCAGUAAUGUCGAACUAUGCUAUGUUAGUGUCCAUAGGCAGACAUUUAAGUCAGUUUGAAAAGAAAAAAAGACUUAUUUUGAUUUUCUGUGUAGAAAAAUACAUCAUUUCAGCUUAAGAGGUCAUGUUAAAGUAAAAUAUUUACCCAAACUAAAAUUCUUUUGCCAUUUCAGUUUGUGGAAACACGGAGCCCCUUAGGCAAUACAGUGUUUGAAGAUGGCUUUCAUAUGUGGAACUCUUGGUUACUUCCCAGCUCAGGUUCACAGGCUCUGAGCUGAACAAUUACGUCCUCACGACUUUCUAGAAAUGAACACGGGCAAAAUUGAGGUAUUGUGCUCUAAAGCUGAAAUCUUAAAAGUUUUCUUAACCCUAUAUCUGAUCCUGGAGGUCCUCCAGAAUCUGUGAGUUGGUACCUCAAAUCUUGGCCAGCAUAGCUCUUCCAGCACCUGAAAUGAUGCUUUUUCCCCUGAGACAUGCUGAAGUCUAGACAAUACCUUGACGUGUAACCUCAUAUUAGCCUGACUAUUUCCCAUAAUAUUAAUAAGCUUUAACACUUAUUUCUCCUAUGGUGAAGUGGUCACCUCCCAUGUGCUGGAACCGCCAACCAUAUGCCAAGGAGAUCAAGCUGUCAGAUUUGAGAAGAGCAUUGGGAGUAGUGCAUUGUGUCCAAUUCACUGUGCUUGCCUGCCUCUGGGAGAGCAGCUCAGCAGCAACAGUGGUUGUGCUCUGCUGUUCCUGGGUCCCGUUGCGCGGUGAGUAAUCUGGUGUGGAAUGGUUUCAGCAAAUGCACCAAAUGAGGACUCUGUUGUGACAACUGAUGGGAGAUUCUGCUUGGGUUUUGUACUCUCAGUGGUGCUGAGGGACUGAAGGAACCAGGGCAAAUCUGCAGUGCAGAGGGCAAAAAACCAACCUGAUGUGGCUGGCUGAAACUGCCACUGUGUUGUCCAGCUGUUUUAGAGGGUUCUCUGCCCUGGCCCUUCUUUUGGAGACAAGGUCCCUGUCCCAGAAGGAGGAGUGUUUCCUGGAGCUGUAAUGCAGUCCUGAGCAGCACAGCUGCCAGAUGGCCCUUGUUGCCAAGCAGACCUGCUUGCUGGGUCUCACAUGCUUUAAAGUCUUACCCUGGGUCUCAAAGGAAACAAGAGGGAGGAUGAUUUGACACACAUUCUCCUGAUUUGACAUACUGUAUGGUUACAACGUGGUGUGUCAUCCAGAAGAAAUCCAAAAUACAUGUUCAUGUACAGGCACAAAUCUGACUGUUCCCUGAUAAACUGUUCAUGUGGAAAGAUACAAUUUGCAUGGUUGUCAUCAAAGCCAGUGUAUGUAUUCAUUUGCAGAAGCAUGUCAGACACCAUAUGCCAGUAAUAUGCCUUUGAUAUGUUGGUGUCUGAAUCAUUUUUUUAACUGCUGAAUGGCAUAUGUUUAAAUGUAAACAUCUGUUCUCUGUUUGUACUGUCGGUGUUUUUUAUUUCUAUAUUUUCUUUUGACUAAGAGUUGGAUUCAAACCCAGAAAAAAUGUGGGAUUCAUCGUGUUUUUUAAAGAAAGACAGUUUUUUUAGUAUUUCAGUGUUGGCCAUUGUGUAUGUUCUCAUAGAUGAGAAGGGUAUUUAAAAGAGAAUUUUUUCCCUUUCGGUAACCAAAACUAACUCAAUUUCCAGGCAAAAUAAGAAUUUUGACUAGAAGUGUCUUGAAUAAAAAAUUAUUGUUUUAGUGUUGGGCAGGUUCUGCAACGUAUGGAUUUACUGAAAAGCAGCCCAAUGUUACACCAUGACAUUAAAUUAUUUUUAUCCAGAAACUUUUCUGAUGCAGUUAAAGAACUUGCAGUGUAAUAAAUGACUUAAUAAAGGAAUGAAAUAAUA